AAAGACUCAAUUCUUGGGUUUUCAUAUCCAACAUUUGACCGUCCGUCUUAUAUGAUUUUUUUAUAAUUAGUAUUUUUAUUAUUGUUAGAUGAUAAAACAUGAAUAAUACUCUAUGUAUGACUUAUCUUUUUAAUUUUUUUAUAAUUUUUUUUAAAUAAGACGGACGGUCAAAUGUUAGACACGGAAACACAGGAAUUAAG
rfam:Oryza sativa (indica cultivar-group) chromosome 5, whole genome shotgun sequence.